AGCUAGUUGAUGAGUCUCAAAUAGGACGAAAUGCGCAUCCCGGCUGGAU
rfam:Trichobilharzia regenti genome assembly, scaffold: TRE_scaffold0086535